rnacentral:rRNA from 1 species
ACUCCUACGGGAGGCAGCAGUGGGGAAUAUUGCACAAUGGGCGCAAGCCUGAUGCAGCCAUGCCGCGUGUAUGAAGAAGGCCUUCGGGUUGUAAAGUACUUUCAGUCAGUGAGGAAGGUAGUAGUAGUUAAUAGCUGCUAUUAUUUGACGUUAGCUGCAGAAGAAGCACCGGCUAACUCCGUGCCAGCAGCCGCGGUAAUACGGAGGGUGCGAGCGUUAAUCGGAAUUACUGGGCGUAAAGCGCAUGCAGGUGGUUUGUUAAGUCAGAUGUG